UUGCUCGGUCGUUGCCCUGUACAGUGCUCACGGUGUUCGCUGCAACAAACUCGGCCGCCGUUCGCCCCGGCGAGCGGUGAGCCGUCACCACAAUACUCCCUCACCACGGUCCCCCCCGCUUCGGUUGGCGACACCGAUCCGCGACCGUCAUGACAAUUGACCUAUAAACCAAGUCUUGGUUAUCGAUCGCGGCGUGCACCGGCCCGGGCCCUGGCGACGACUCUUCUCGACAACAGCCACGCCUCCCGCGACGCAGUCGUCUAGACCUGUUCCUGCAAGCCAGACGACAGAGUCCGCGACAACGAUCUACACGGCAAACGAUAAAUGAGUAAUAAGCACUUGUCCGAAAAACGAUAAGGUCCAAUAUUGGAAAAAGUUGUACCAAUUAUUGACCAAAUCACCGGAUUACCGGGAUUGGAGACGGCCCGCUGCAGCUGUUCGAAGAAUAACAAAGUCUAUCCACAAGGUUGCCGACGUACCUGUGUAUUUUGUCGAGAGUCGUGAUUGUUACGGUUUCCCAACAUAAACCUAAGUUUAUUCGGUUGCCGGACAACGGAGUACAACAGACGUGAGACGACGUUCCAGUUGCAAACUUGCUGCAACAUUAUAGUUUACGACUGCACAUUGCGGCACUCGUCGCUCUAGACUCGACUUGCAAUCCGUUCGAAACGUUCACGAUGGCCGAUGACAAUGACGGGAUCCCGGAGAGUGUACCUAGCGUACUCAAGACAGCGUCGGAAGAACCUCUGAACAAACAGGACCAGGACGGAGUCGGUUUUACGGAGGAAGAAUGGUGCCCGGAUGACGCCCGGCUGACCGAGUAUAUUGAUUUUGAUUUGUUAGGACCGGGAGGUAAAGAUCCUUUCAACCAUCUCAUUAAUAAUACAAACCAUGAAGAUCUUACUGGCGAAUACAAGGUGGUGAAAAUAGUACUGGAUCCGGGUAAGCAGGGAUUUUUUUUUAAAUUUUUG